AAGUUUUAUUAAAAAGUAUGUAUCACUGACAAAAUCAAUCAGAACACAAUCCCGAAGAGAGGCCAAGCCGGAAGGGUGGUCUGGGGUAUUCCGUUUCAUUGUUUUUCUUUACUACUGGGGGAUGCAAUAAAGCUGCCUUAUGUUAUAUUCAUUUGUAGCUCACUGAAGCAUCAUUAGUUAUCAGCAAAACGUCUUGGAACAGUAAGUUUCUUCUGUAUUCUUUCUGCCCUUUAAUUUACAUAAGUGUUGUAAUUUUUUAUUUAAUAAAGGGACAAGGCUUAAUGAAGUAAUGUGUUAUCUGUCACCUGGUGUCUCUAAAUAAAAACACAGCAAAAAUAUAUUGAAGUUCUUAACCUUUUAUAAUACCAUUAUAAAAAAUAAAUACUGAAAAAGACUCGCAAGAAAAUAAUUUGGACAUGUCUUCCCAGUGAUAACACAGAAAUCAAGAAAGAAAAGCAAUCUCCAUUUGCAGUAGAAAGUUAAAUCAUGCUCAGGUGUCAAAAGAGCACAAUCUCUAAUCUGUACACUCAGAAGGUAUGUCAAUACAUUCAGAAGCAUCGUUUUUUUGCCCUGUGACAUGCUCCUUGAUUUUAUCUAUUUUAUAAUAUUUGGUUUCUGGUAAUUGUUUACAGACUGUUUAAUGUGAAUACAGUAAUUAAUGAGCCUCCCUAUUUAUUUGCCUAAUGUGCUGCCAGAUGGAUUUGAUAUUCCAUUUUACUUGUUUGGCAACCACGCACAUGCUUUGACUGCCUCUGUUUUAAUCCUGCCUUUGAGCCUCUUAACAUAGAUAAUCCAUCCAGAAUCCGCUUCCUCACUGAUCAUUUUCUCUUCUGCUUCUUCUGUGUUUAACUUUGCAUUUUCAUUCUUAAUGAACCAAGUGUACUACUACAUAAGGCUAUGUUUCAUAGCCUUAAAUGUCAUUUUACUGAAAAUAAGUGUGAAUGCAUGCUAAUAAUCAAAUGAUAUGGAAUGCAAUGUAGUAAUUGGCUGCAUUCUCAUUUUCCUAUGCAAUACAGCGGUAACUGUAUAAACUCCCUGACAGGACAGCUAUGCUUACUAAUGGUUUUUAAUAAGAUAGACAAAUAUAGUACAACCUACCUUACUUCCAGUCAAAGAGGAAUACAUUGUUAUUUGUUACAUGUUUUUCCUUGAUUUCUUUAGUUAAAGAGGCCCAAAGCCUCUGAAGAUGACAUCAGAAGUUAUCCAGCAACUUAUAACAGCAAUGAGAGGAUUAUGAAUUACACUUAUCUUUUCUUUAAAUCAUUGACAUAUGUACGUGAGGUCCUUGAGAGUGGUGUGGCUACUGUGUGUAGUGACAUCAUCUUCAAGCUAAAAGGAAAAUCAAGAUAGAAGUCAAAGAGGCAUCAUGAAUACAUCCACAAAACCGUACCGUUGGGCAUUACAGUGGGGAAAAAAGAAUGUUCUGAAGUAAAGAAGUGUUAAAUGCUUCUUCAGUAAUCCUUGCACACUUGAGAGCUCCACCAAUUUUCAGUAGCUGUUAGGAACAUCCGUUUCAUCCUGCAAAGUAUGGCAUCAAAGUCAGAGGCACACGAGUAUAAGGUCUAAUUGAUCUGCACACCCGUACCUCAGGUUAGAAAGGAAAUGUAGCAGAUCACUCACAUCACUGAUCUCAUCACCUUAGUUUGAUUUUGAAACCUAAAAGUAGAAAGAAUUUUUAACUUUGGUGAAGUACAAGUCAGUAUAACAUUCCCACUGAAUUAAUUGGGCCAGAACUAUCAUGGCUUUUCAUAUAUUACUAUAAUUUAAAAAUGAAAGCUUAUUAUCUCAAGAAACAUCCACAGAUUCUUGCAAAUAUCGUACACGGUGGACUUUCUUGUAACUUGUUGGUUAAAUGGGAAUGUUUUCAAUAAAUUAUCGUUUUGUUUAAAAAGAUAUAGCUUGUUGUCCUCUGUUCUUCUUCCAUUAGAAACAGACAUUUUCAUGUGCAUAUCCUGAAAAAUGCUAAGAUUACUGGAUACUGGAAGAACAUUCUUGAAUCAGGAGAGAACCAUUUCUAAAUCACAGCAGAAAUUUUGAUUCACUGCAGCAAUAUUUCAAGAGUUGGCACUACUUAAUUAAAACAAAACUGAAGGACAUGCAGAAUCUUCCUUUCCACCUCUGCUACAAGAAGGCACUCUUGGAUAUGGCUUUGAAAUAACCCACUCCAUUCUGAAUUGUGGCCGUAAUGGGCCUUUCAGUAAUCAGGCUUGCAGUACCACUAGUGGAAGGAACAAGACUGAGUCAGGGGCUUACAGUAUAUUGCAGCCUUUUUUGGCCUUUUGGCCCAAAGAAUUAGACAGACUUUGAAAUCUCGCAUCACUUUUCUUUAAAGAGGAAAAAUGGACACACAUUUCUUUAACAUAAAUCUGUUGGUAUACAAGGAAUGUUUAUAAUUUUUAAAUUGUACUUAUUUAUUGAAAUCUAUCUAGACUAUUUGCUUUGACCACAGGUUUGUCCUUCUCUCUGGAUAUUGUUUCCUACAAAGGCUAUUUUUCACCUGUGUUUAAGAUCAGGUUUUUGUUUUGUUUUUUGUGGUGAUCUGUCAGAUGUUUGUUUUCCUAUGCACUUGUGACGGUGUUGCUAUUUCUCAUUCUUACAUGCACAUAUAGAUGCAUGCAACCAACGUAACUUGCAUUUGUUAUGGGAAUCCCAGAAAAUUCCUGUACCAUCUGGCCAAGCCAUAGUUGGUAUUUGUAUGUGGACUAGUGCUUGGGUGGUAUUUUUCCAUUGUUCCAGCUAUCACUCAGCAAGGUCAUUUAAGUGGGUCUUCAAUGAGCCUGAACAGAAGACGGCUACUAUACCCGAGUACAAUUACCCUAUCUCCUCUACUGCAACCUAUAGAAGCAAAGAGAGCUAAAGCACUAUCUUAAUUAAGUAAUGUCAAAUUCAGAGGCCAUUUUCUUCCUAAGUAGCAGCUGUCUCAGUUGCCAGCUGUACUUGCUUUUUUGUAGCAACUACCCGACCCAUGAGACAUCGCUGACCUCUCCCGCCCUUGUUUGCUACCCUCACUCACUCAGUCUUGAAUUCCUUUUGGAGAAGUUCUGAGGAUGGCAGGAAUACAGCAUUGUCAUAAAUCGAGGAUCGUGAACAGGCUGUAAAAUUUCUGACUCAUAUUUCCCUCUUGUGUGUGUUUGUCUAUGACACAGGGGGACAAGCAGCUAGAAAGUGACAAGAAAAGCCUGGCAGAGAAAAAAGAGCUCUUCUCAAGUAAGGUCACAGCAAAGAUCAGUGAACUUCCCUGCUGAGAAAGAGUGUACCACCAGGAAGAAAACCAGCAGCUUCCAGCGACAGUGGCACUACGAUUGCUGACUGCUUUUCUAAUGUUAGUUACCGCCUUACUGGAUGUGACAGCUUUUCCCUCCAAAUGAGCUGAAAAUAGGACUAUUAUAAGCUAUGUAGUCCUACAGACCAGCAUCAAGUGCUGUAAUUCUUAGUGUAAGAAGGUAUGACCUAAGAACCAAAUUUAUAACAUAGCUGCAUUGACUAAAACCACAAGAACAGCGCAGUUAGAAACAUGCAUUUACACCAGCACUCGUUUCAAGCGUGAUCAGACAAAAAACCCAGUGCCACACGCACACCUCCGGGUCCUGAUGAGCAAAUCCCUCAUCCUAAAUGCCCUUUACAGGUCAGUCCAUCAGCAGCGCGCCGAAGGGCUGCAGCCGUGAGGUGAGGAGCUGAGAGCCCGGCUCCAGUCUCACCCCGCCACCAACCUGCCAGGCCGUUCCGCCGCGCGUUCUCCCCGGCUGCCGCGGUUCCGGAGC
ensembl:lncRNA